GGAGGAAAGCAGGGGAUCGUAAGACCUCGCGCUAUUGGAGCGGCCGAUGUCCGAUUAGCUAGUUGGUGGGGUAAUGGCCUACCAAGGCAACGAUCGGUAGCUGGUCUGAGAGGAUGAUCAGCCACGCUGGGACUGAGACACGGCCCAGACUCCUACGGGAGGCAGCAGUGGGGAAUUUUGGACAAUGGGCGCAAGCCUGAUCCAGCCAUGCCGCGUGAGUGAAGAAGGCCUUCGGGUUGUAAAGCUCUUUCGGCCGGAACGAAAUCGUCCGGGCUAAUACCUCGGAUGGAUGACGGUACCGGAAGAAGAAGCACCGGCCAACUACGUGCCAGCAGCCGCGGUAGUACGUAGGGUGCAGGCGUUAAUCGGAAUUACUGGGCGUAAAGCGUGCGCAGGCGGCUUCUCAAGUCAGAUGUGAAAUCCCCGGGCUUAACCUGGGAACUGCGUUUGAAACUACAAAGCUAG
rnacentral:rRNA from 1 species